AAAAACGUUCAAAGCAGCCGCAUUGAAGUCAAUGGACGCUGGGCUUCAACGGGGAAACGCACUGUGACGCUACGGGAAUGUAUGAGAAGAAAAUCAAGUCAGCCGACCUGCUAUAUCUAACUGAUUCUGAACGAACUCGUCUUUGAGAUGAACGCAUUUUUAGUCAAUAAAAUUUUAAUACAAUAGUACAUAAUUUUACCAUUAAUUUUGUGACAUUAUAGGGGAAGCUAAACUUCCCUUGCAGUCUUAAAGAAAUCGCCACUGAUCUGUUGAUGUGGUCUCAAGUCACAGAGAGUUUAACAAACAUAGCAGUAACUUUAGGAGCUGAUGUGAUUAUAAGCUGUGAUCUUGAUAUAAAGGACAUUUACUGGUACAAACAGAAACUACCAGAUCCUCCAGUCUUGAUGUUACGCACUUACAGUAGCAGAUCUGAAGGUGCUAAAUAUGAAAACAGCACCUUUGAAGACAAAUACUCAGUGAAAACUAACAGUCGUCUGUUCAUCAGAAAUAUCAGCACUGAUGAAUUAGGAGUUUAUUACUGUGUGAAAACUAGUGAACCACUGAAAUUCAGCAGCGGCACCAAAAUCUACAUCACUGACUCAGUUUACAUGAAUCAGACAGAAUCAGAUGAUGCUUCACAACAACAGACUCCAUGGAGAACCGUGACCAUCACUUCAGUCCUGCUGAAUGUGCUUUUGAUCAUUGCAUUGAUAGUUAUGGUGAAGAGCUACAUUGACAUAACUGGAAGAUCUAAAAAUUUCACUGAUGCUAAAAUCUCAAAUAAUCUACAGUUUGGACCAUGGAGGACAUUUCAGGAUCACACAAGGACUGCGAAAAUAUGCCUGUGAUCUCACAGCACAGCACAUGCUCAGCUCAUUCUCUCUAAAGAAAACAAAACAACAUGUGUGAAAGAACAGCAGCCGCAUCCUGAUCAUCCAGAGAGAUUUAAAAACCUUGAACAGGUUCUGUGUCAAGAGAAACUGACUGGACGCUGUUACUGGGAGGCUGACUGGAAUGGAUGGGGUCAUGUAGCAGUGACACACAAGGGAAUCAACCAGAAGGGACAUUGGAGAUAUGAUAGAAAGAAGUGGGAGAGAGAGAUGGGGCGAGAUUGGGGAGAAAGGUCCAUGAGGUGGGAUUUGAACUCGGGACACCCGAAGUGCAACUGCACCACUGUUGGCAAGCUGCCCACAAGGCUAUCGGCGCUUUUUUUUUUAAUCAGAGUAUUAUCAAGUUAUGAGCUGUAAAGGCACAGCCCUAUUCUGGAAAAGGGGUGGAGAGCAGCCGCU